rnacentral:rRNA from 1 species
AGUGAACGCUGGCGGUAGGCCUAACACAUGCAAGUCGAACGGCAGCACAGUAAGAGCUUGCUCUUACGGGUGGCGAGUGGCGGACGGGUGAGGAAUACAUCGGAAUCUACUUUUUCGUGGGGGAUAACGUAGGGAAACUUACGCUAAUACCGCAUACGACCUACGGGUGAAAGCAGGGGAUCUUCGGACCUUGCGCGAUUGAAUGAGCCGAUGUCGGAUUAGCUAGUUGGCGGGGUAAAGGCCCACCAAGGCGACGAUCCGUAGCUGGUCUGAGAGGAUGAUCAGCCACACUGGAACCGAGACACGGUCCAGACUCCUACGGGAGGCAGCAGUGGGGAAUAUUGGACAAUGGGCGCAAGCCUGAUCCAGCCAUACCGCGUGGGUGAAGUAGGCCUUCGGGUUGUAAAGCCCUUUUGUUGGGAAAGAAAAGCAGCAGGUUAAUACCCCGCUGUUCUGACGGUACCCAAAGAAUAAGCACCGGCUAACUUCGUG